UUGAGUUCGUUAAAAAAAAAG
ensembl:piRNA 21ur-7322 ncRNA